rnacentral:piRNA from 1 species
UCUCUGUGGUAACCUUAGGAGAGCCAGGC